GACGUAGGGCGCGAGCGUUGUCCGGAUUUAUUGGGCGUAAAGAGCUCGUAGGCGGCUUGUCGCGUCGUCCGUGAAAACCUGCGGCUCAACUGCAGGCUGGCGGUCGAUACGGGCAGGCUGGAGUUCGGUAGGGGAGACUGGAAUUCCUGGUGUAGCGGUGAAAUGCGCAGAUAUCAGGAGGAACACCGGUGGCGAAGGCGGGUCUCUGGGCCGAUAUUGACGCUGAGGAGCGAAAGCGUGGGGAGCGAACAGG
rnacentral:rRNA from 1 species